GUAAGGGCAUUUGGUGAAUGCCUUGGCAAUCAGAGGCGAAGAAGGACGUGGUACACUGCGAAAAGUUACGGGGAGUUGUGAACAAGCAUUGAUCCGUAAAUAUCCGAAUGGGGAAACCCACAGAGCAAUCUGUACUGUAUGAUGAAUAAAUAGUCAUGCAGGGCGAACGCAGGGAACUGAAACAUCUAAGUACCUGUAGGAAAGGAAAUCAACCGAGACUCCGAAAGUAGUGGCGAGCAAAAAAAGGCCACCCCCUGGGUGGUCCGGCUUAUAAUCCGCCGAGCCAAAAAAAGGGGGGGGGAGGAAAAGGGCCCCAGCCGAUGGAUAGUCAGUAAAGAAUCAGAAUUACCUGGAAAGGUAAGCCGGAGAGGGUGACAGCCCCGUACGAGUAGAAAAGCUGACUGUUCUUGAGUAAGGCGGAGCACGAGAAAUUCUGUCUGAAAAUGGGGAGACCACUCUCCAAGGCUAAGUACUACUGAUUGACCGAUAGUGAACAAGUACCGUGAGGGAAAGGUGAAAAGCACCCCUAUAAGGGGAGUGAAAGAGAACCUGAAACCGGAUGCCUACAAGCAGUCGGAGGGUCUAUAAGGCCUGACGGCGUACCUUUUGUAUAAUGGGUCAGCGACUUAAUUUAUGUAGCAAGCUUAAGCCGAUAGGUGUAGGCGUAGAGAAAUCGAGUGUUAACAGCGCGUUAAGUUACAUGAAUUAGACCCGAAACCGAGUGAUCUAGCCAUGAUCAGGUUGAAGGUUGGGUAACACCAACUGGAGGACCGAACCCACUCCCGUUGAAAAGGUAGGGGAUGAAUUGUGGCUAGGGGUGAAAGGCCAAUCAAACUCGGAAAUAGCUGGUUCUCCGCGAAAACUAUUUAGGUAGUGCGGUGAGCGGACACCUUGAGGGGUAGAGCACUGGAAGAGCUAAGGGGGAGCGAUCCUUACUAAACUUUACCAAACUCCGAAUACUCAAGAGUGAUACUCACCAGACAGACAUUAGGUGCUAAGGUCUAGUGUCGAGAGGGAAAGAGCCCAGACCGCCAAUUAAGGUCCCAAAAUUAUGGCUAAGUGGUAAAGGAAGUGAAACGUCCAAAACAGUCAGGAGGUUGGCUUAGAAGCAGCCAUCCUUUAAAGAAAGCGUAAUAGCUCACUGAUCUAAACAAGACGUCUUGCGCCGAAGAUGUAACGGGGCUAAAGCCAUAUACCGAAGUUGCGGAUUUACACGUUAAAGUGUAAGUGGUAGCGGAGCGUUCUGUAAGCCUGCGAAGGUGUACCGUAAGGUAUGCUGGAGGUAUCAGAAGUGAGAAUGCUGACAUGAGUAGCGAAAAGAAGAGUGAGAGACUCUUCCGCUGAAAGUCCAAGGUUUCCUGCGUAAAGCUAAUCUGCGCAGGGUUAGUCGGUCCCUAAGGCGAGGCAGAGAUGCGUAGUCGAUGGCAAUCAGGUUAAUAUUCCUGAACCGGCCCGGAAGUGACGGAUUGAGUAAAUUGUAAGUUCUUAUUGGAUUGAGCUUGCAGUGAAUCAGUCCCAGGAAAUAGCCCGGGCUAAGACCGUACCCGAAACCGACACAGGUGGACAGGUAGAGAAUACCAAAGCGCUUGAGAGAACUAUGUUGAAGGAACUAGGCAAAAUACUUGCGUAACUUCGGGAUAAGCAAGCCCCAUUUUAAGGCAACUUAGGGUGGGGGGCACAUACUAGGGGGUAGCGACUGUUUACUAAAAACACAGGGCUCUGCUAAAUUGAAAGAUGAAGUAUAGGGUCUGACGCCUGCCCGGUGCUGGAAGGUUAAGGAGAGAUGUGCAAGCAUUGAACUGAAGCCCCAGUAAACGGCGGCCGUAACUAUAACGGUCCUAAGGUAGCGAAAUUCCUUGUCGGGUAAGUUCCGACCUGCACGAAUGGCGUAACGACUUCCCCGCUGUCUCCAACAUAGGCUCAGCGAAAUUGAACUCUGAGUUAAGAUGCUCAGUACCCGCGGUUAGACGGAAAGACCCCGUGAACCUUUACUAUAGCUUUGCAGUGGUAUUAGGUAACAAAUGUGUAGAAUAGGUGGGAUGCUAUGAAGCUACGACGCCAGUUGUAGUGGAGCAGACUUUGAAAUACCACCCUUUUGUUGUUUGAUAUCUAACCUGCUCCCGUUAUCCGGGAGAGGGACCCUGCAUGGUGGGUAGUUUGACUGGGGCGGUCGCCUCCCAAAGAGUAACGGAGGCGCGCAAAGGUUGGCUCAGAUUGGUCAGAAAUCAAUCGUCGAGUGCAAUGGCAUAAGCCAGCCUGACUGCGAGAGAGACAUUUCGAGCAGAUACGAAAGUAGGUCAUAGUGAUCCGGUGGUCCCGAGUGGAAGGGCCAUCGCUCAACGGAUAAAAGGUACUCCGGGGAUAACAGGCUGAUUCCGCCCAAGAGUUCACAUCGACGGCGGAGUUUGGCACCUCGAUGUCGGCUCAUCACAUCCUGGGGCUGGAGAAGGUCCCAAGGGUUCGGCUGUUCGCCGAUUAAAGUGGUACGCGAGCUGGGUUUAGAACGUCGUGAGACAGUUCGGUCCCUAUCUGCCGUGGGUGUAGGAUACUUGAGAGGAUUUGUCCUUAGUACGAGAGGACCGGGAUGAACAUACCUCUGGUGUACCAGUUGUUCCGCCAGGAGCAACGCUGGGUAGCUAAGUAUGGACGGGAUAACCGCUGAAUGCAUCUAAGCGGGAAACCCACCUCAAAACAAGGUAUCCCAAUUAAGACCGUGGUAGACCACCACGUUGAUAGGUCAGGUGUGUAAGCGCAGCAAUGUGUUUAGCUAACUGAUACUAAUAGUCUGAUUGGCUUGAUU
rnacentral:rRNA from 1 species